rnacentral:rRNA from 1 species
GACGAACCGUACGAACGUUAUUCGGAAUUACUGGGCUUAAAGGGUUUGUAGGCGGCCUUGUAAGUCAGGUGUGAAAUCCCUCGGCUCAACCGAGGAAUGGCGCUUGAUACUGCAAGGCUUGAGGGAGACAGGGGUAAGCGGAACUGAUGGUGGAGCGGUGAAAUGCGUUGAUAUCAUCAGGAACACCGGUGGCGAAGGCGGCAUCCUGGACCGGUAUUGACGCUGAGGCGCGAAAGCCAGGGGAGCAAACGGG